GAUGAACGCUGGCGGUGUGCCUAAUACAUGCAAGUCGAGCGACCACACGAGGAGCUUGCUCCUCUGACGUUAGCGGCGGACGGGUGAGUAACACGUGGAUCACCUACUUCUAUUACUGGGAUAACUUCGGGAAACCGCAGCUAAUACUAGCUAAUAUAUUCAACGGCAUGGUUCAAUAGUGCAUGACGGUUUUCCCGUCUCUUUUAGACGGAUCCGGGUGGCAUUAGCUAGUUGGUAAGGUAACGGCUUACCAAGGCGACGAUGCCUAGCCGACCUGAGAGGGUGGACCGGCACACUGGGACUGAGACACGGGCCAAAAUCCUAAGGGAGGCAGCAGGAGGGGAACAUCCGCAAAGGGGGGAAGCCUUACGGAGCAACGCCGCGUGAGGGAUAGAAGGCUUCGGAUCUGAAAACUCAGUUAGUAGGGAAAGACAAGUGGGUAAGUAACAAUGCACUGCUUUAAGGGAACUAAUCAGAGAGCCACGGCUAACUACGUU
rnacentral:rRNA from 1 species